UACGUAGGGGGCUAGCGUUGUCCGGAUUUAUUGGGCGUAAAGCGCGUGUAGGCGGCCAGGUAGGUCCGCUGUGAAAACUCGAGGCUCAACCUCGAGACGUCGGCGGAAACCCUCUGGCUAGAGUCCGGAAGAGGAGAGUGGAAUUCCUGGUGUAGCGGUGAAAUGCGCAGAUAUCAGGAAGAACACCCGUGGCGAAGGCGGCUCUCUGGUACGGAACUGACGCUGAGACGCGAAAGCGUGGGGAGCGAACAGG
rnacentral:rRNA from 1 species